AUUGAACGCUGGCGGCAUGCUUUACACAUGCAAGUCGAACGGCAGCGGGGGCUUCGGCCUGCCGGCGAGUGGCGAACGGGUGAGUAAUGCAUCGGAACGUGCCCAGUCAUGGGGGAUAACUACGCGAAAGCGUAGCUAAUACCGCAUACGCCCUGAGGGGGGAAAGCGGGGGGAUCGCAAGACCUCGCGUGAUUGGAGCGGCCGAUGUCGGAUUAGCUGGUUGGUGGGUAAAGGCCUACCAAGGCGACGAUCCGUAGCGGGUCUGAGAGGAUGAUCCGCCACACUGGGACUGAGACACGGCCCAGACUCCUACGGGAGACAGCAGUGGGGAAUUUUGGACAAUGGGGGGCAACCCUGAUCCAGCCAUGCCGCGUGAGUGAAGAAGGCC
rnacentral:rRNA from 1 species